AUUGAACGCUGGCGGCAGGCCUAACACAUGCAAGUCGAACGAGUGGCGGACGGGUGGGUAAUGUAUGGGAAACUGCCUGAUGGAGGGGGAUAACAACUGGAAACGGUAGCUAAUACCGCAUACCAUCAGAUGUGCCCAGAUGGGCGUAGCUAGUUGGUGGGGUAACGGCUCACCAAGGCGACGAUCCCUAGCUGGUCGGAGAGGAUGACCCGCCACACUGGAACUGAGACACGGUCCAGACUCCUACGGGAGGCAGCAGUGGGGAAUAUUGCACAAUGGGCGCAAGCCUGAUGCAGCCAUGCCGCGUGUAUGAAGAAGGCCUUCGUGUUGUAAAGUACUUUCAGCAGGGAGGCGUUACCCGCAGAAGAAGCACCGGCUAACUCCGUGCCAGCAGCCGCGGUAAUUC
rnacentral:rRNA from 1 species